CAACCUCGCCUUCAAGGCGUACAAUAAUAGAGAGAAGGCAGCCAAGCGGCAAUGCAUUUCUGAGUUACAAUUACUUGCCUCUGCUGUGAGACAAAACCCAGCUGCACCUCCAGCACACAAGAACUUCAAAACGCCUAAACCGCAGUGGUCAGGCAUUCCUACAGGACCUCCUCCCUCAGGAUCUUGCUUCAAGUGUCAGAAAUAUGGCCACUGGACCAAGGAAUGCCCACAGCCUGGGAUUCCUCCCAAGCCAUGUCCCAUCUGUGCAGGGACCCACUGGAAAUCAGACUGCCCAGCUCGCCUGGCAGCCACUCCUAUAGCCCCUAAAACUCUGGCCCAAGGCUCUCUGAAUGACUCCUUCCCAGAUCUGCUCGGCUUAGCGGCUCAAGGCUGAUGCUGCCCAAUCGCUUUAGAAGCCCCCUGGACCAUCAUGGAUGCCGAGCUUCCAGUAACUCUCACAGUGGAGGCAAGAAUGCCCUCCUAAGAUGCCAGAACCUUGAUAUUGAACUUUCCAGCCUCCAGAACUGGGUGACAAUACAUUCCUAUUCAUUAUAAAUUACCCAGUCUUGGAUACUCUGCUAUAGCAGCACGAAACAGACUAAAGGAGUAUACACAAUAAAAGUCUCACAAAACUUCAAAUAACACAAAGAGGCAAGACAACUGAGUCAACCCAAAACAUGCAUCAAGGUCAUGAAAAGCAGGAAAGACUGAGAAACCGUCACAAAUCAGAGGCGUUUAAGAAGAUAUGUCAAUUAAGUGUAGUAUCCUGGCUUGUAGCCUGAAAAAUAAAGAGGACAUAAGUGAAAACACUGGUGAAAUCAGAACAAAAUCUGCAGUUCACUUUUUACAACUUGUAUAUCCUUCUAGAUAUUUUCAACUGAUUCAUAAUAGUUUAUAGCAUGCUUUUUGUUAAUAUUAUAUGAACAUAUUUCUAUGUCAUUAUCAUCUCCAUAAUUUUAAUACUUGAGUAGAUUUGCAUUUUCUGUAUAUGCAUUAUAUAUAUAAGAAUUAAUUUAGACAAUCAUUACUAUGAGAAAUGUUGUAUUUUUCAGUAAUAUAAAUAAUACUGUAAUGAAGUAUUAUCACACGUUUUAGUCCAAGAAUGAAAUAUGAUAGCAAAAUAUUAUUGCAUAUUGUAAACAUUUCUUUGGGAUACAUUUCUUUAAGGAGGAUUUUUGAGCCUAAGAUUAGGCACAUUUCUAAAGCUUUGGUCAAAUUGCCAUUCAGAACAUUUUGAAGGUGUCCAUUUUCCUUCCCCCACAAAAAAUAGGUAGCAUUUUGAUUUAUGUCUUUAUGAAAGCAGUAUUUCCAAAAUAUUUUUCUGUGAUUAUUGAGAUAAUAAAUACUUUUUCGUGAUGCCCAUGACUUCUCUAAAACUUCGUUUUUAUUGUCUAUAUUUAAGGUGUACCGUAUGGUGUUUUGAUAUAC
rnacentral:lncRNA from 10 species